UAAUUUUCAAAAUAUAAAUUAAAAAAUUCAAAUUCAAAUAUAAUAAGAGGGUAAUAUCAUUAUUUUUUAUUUAUAACUACCCACUUUAAUUUUAAUGUCAUCUUAUCUAACCAAACAUUAUUUUUUUUAUUCCUAAGAAUAGCCUAAUUUUCAUCAAAACGCAAAAUUGAUCUAAUCCCCGCUAAUACCUCAAUUUAUAUCUAUUUCUGGAAUAAUCACUUUUUACUUAUCCCCGAACCAAAGGAUACCCUAGAAUUUUAUGACGAUGUUACACUUUUGGUUCUCACAACAAGAUGUGGGUUCAUAUAUAUUUUAAUAUAUUUUAAUUUAGAGUAAACUUCAAUCCCCCCCCCCCCCAAUGAUUUAGAUCAUUUUCACUUUCCUACCAUCUGAUUCAAAAAAUUACAAUUAACUCUUCUGUGAUUUUAUUUC
rnacentral:lncRNA from 1 species